rnacentral:lncRNA from 1 species
UGCCAUCGCUGCACCGUCGUUUGCUGCACCGCGCUGCGACCCUUUGGUGACGGUCCGCUACGGGUGAUCACCAUCGAGGAUCUGUUGCCCGUGUCCCACAACGGCAACAUCGCCUGCCCGCACUGCUUCAACGUCAAAUUCCACUCCCACGAGUGCUUUCGGAGUCCUGACGAUUUCUCCGAGUUUGGGCUGACAUCCCCGAUACAAGUCGCAUCCGCGCGGCCUAUUAGGCCAUCUGCGGAAUCCCCAGCAACGACGAAUACUGGUCUUUCUUUGCAGGUUUCCUAGUCGAGCCAAGCACUGCCAUCCAGCUGUCCGAGCCGAACUGUCCGUCGGUCCAGG